rnacentral:rRNA from 1 species
UAGGGGAUAUUGCACAAUGGGCGGAAGCCUGAUGCAGCAACGCCGCGUGAGUGAUGAAGGCCCUCGGGUCGUAAAACUCUUUUCAAGAGGAAGAGGAAGGACGGUACUCUUGGAAUAAGCCUCGGCUAACUACGUGCCAGCAGCCGCGGUAACACGUAGGAGGCGAGCGUUAUUCGGAUUUACUGGGCGUAAAGCGCGUGUAGGCGGCUGAUCAAGUUGGAUGUGAAAGCUCCCGGCUUAACUGGGAGAGGACGUUCAAAACUGAACAG